GGAAAUAUAACUUAUACCUCUAAAGUGUUAGAUUCUUACUCUUUUAAAGUUUAUUCAAACUAUUUCCA
rnacentral:tRNA from 1 species